rnacentral:rRNA from 1 species
GACGAACGCUGGCGGCGUGCUUAACACAUGCAAGUCGAACGGAAAGGCCCUGCUUUUGUGGGGUGCUCGAGUGGCGAACGGGUGAGUAACACGUGAGUAACCUGCCCUUGACUUUGGGAUAACUUCAGGAAACUGGGGCUAAUACCCGAUAGGAGCUCCUGCUGCAUGGUGGGGGCUGGAAAGUUUCGGCGGUGGGGGAUGGACUCGCGGCUUGUCAGCUUGUUGGUGGGGUAGUGGCUUACCAAGGCUUUGACGGGUAGCCGGCCUGGGAGGGGGACCGGCCACAUUGGGACUGGGAUGCGGCACAGACUCCUACGGGAGGGAGCAGAGGAGAAUAGUACACAAUGGGCGGAAGCCUGAUGCAGCAACGCAGCGUGCGGGAUGACGGCCUUCGGGUUGUAUAGCGCUUUCGCCUGAGACGAAGCGUAAGUGACGGUAAUGGGUAAAGAAGCACCGGCUAACUACGUG